rnacentral:rRNA from 1 species
CAGUCGCCGCGGUAAUACGUAGGUGGCAAGCGUUGUCCGGAAUUAUUGGGCGUAAAGGGCUCGCAGGCGGUUUCUUAAGUCUGAUGUGAAAGCCCCCGGCUCAACCGGGGAGGGUCAUUGGAAACUGGGAAACUUGAGUGCAGAAGAGGAGAGUUGAAUUCCACGUGUAGCGGUGAAAUGCGUAGAGAUGUGGAGGAACACCAGUGGCGAAGGCGACUCUCUGGUCUGUAACUGACGCUGAGGAGCGAAAGCGUGGGGAGCGAACAGGAUUAGAUACCCCCGUAGUCCCUGUCUCUUAUAC